GUUUAAGGUGUAAGUGCAAGGCUCAACCUUGUGAUGCUUUAGAAAACUGGCAGGCUAGAGAUAGAUAGAGGCAAGUGGAAUUCCCAUGUGUAGCGGUAAAAUGCGUAAAUAUAUGGAGGAACACCAGUGGCGAAGGCGGCUUGCUGGGUCUAUACUGACGCUGAGGCACGAAAGCGUGGGGAGCAAACAGGAUUAGAUACCCUGGUAGUCCACGCCGUAAACGAUGAGUACUAAGUGUUGGGGGAACCCAGUGCUGUAGUUAACAUAUUAAGUACUCCGCCUGAGUAGUACGUACGCAAGUAUGAAACUCAAAGGAAUUGACGGGACCCCGCACAAGCGGUGGAUGAUGUUGUUUAAUUCGAAGAUACGCGAAAAACCUUACCAGGUCUUGACAUACUCCGCAAAGCUAUAGAGAUAUAGUGGAGGUUAACAGAUGUACAGGUGGUGCAUGGUUGUCGUCAGCUCGUGUCGUGAGAUGUUGGGUUAAGUCCCGCAACGAGCGCAACCCUUAUUGCUAGUUACCAUCAUUAAGUUGGGGACUCUAGCGAGACUGCCAGUGAUAAACUGGAGGAAGGUGGGGAUGACGUCAAAUCAUCAUGCCCCUUAUGACCUGGGCUACAAACGUCAUACAAUGGCUGGAACAAAGAGAAGCGAAGCAGUGAUGUGGAGCAAAACUCAUAAAAACAGUCUCAGUUCGGAUUGAAGUCUGCAACUCGACUUCAUGAAGUCGGAAUCGCUAGUAAUCGCAGAUCAGCAUGCUGCGGUGAAUACGUUCUCGGGGUUUGUACACACCGCCCGUAAGGGC
rnacentral:rRNA from 1 species